GACGAACGCUGGCGGCGUGCCUAAUACAUGCAAGUCGAGCGAAGCGGCGGAUGGGUGAGUAACGCGUGGGUGACCGGCCCUUAAGUCGGGGAUACCAUUUGGUAACGGAUGCUAAUACCGGAUACUAAAGGAUGGACCUGCGAUGCAUUAGCUAGUGGGUAAGGUAACGGCUUACCAAGGCGAUGAUGCAUAGCUGAGUUGAGAGACUGAUCGGCCACAUUGGGACUGAGACACGGCCCAAACUCCUACGGGAGGCAGCAGUAGGGAAUCUUCCACAAUGGACGCAAGUCUGAUGGAGCAACGCCGCGUGAGUGAAGAAGGUUUUCGGAUCGUAAAGUUCUGUUGUUGGUGAAGCGGUAAUCAACCAGAAAGUAACGGCUAACUACGUGCCAGCAGCCGCGGUAAUUC
rnacentral:rRNA from 1 species